UACGGAGGAUGCGAGCGUUAUCCGGAUUUAUUGGGUUUAAAGGGUGCGCAGGCGGGCUGUUAAGCCGGCGGUAAAAAUUCAGGGCUCAACCCUGUCGAGCCGUCGGAACUGGCAGUCUUGAGUGGGCGAGAAGUAUGCGGAAUGCGUGGUGUAGCGGUGAAAUGCAUAGAUAUCACGCAGAACGCCGAUUGCGAAGGCAUCUCACGAAUCCGCGAUUGACGCUGAUGCACGAAAGCGUGGGUAUCAAACAGG
rnacentral:rRNA from 1 species